rnacentral:rRNA from 1 species
CUGAUCGCCAUGCCGCGUGUGUGAGAAGGUUUGGAUUGUAAAGCACUUUAAGUUGGGAGGAGGCCUAGUUAAUACCUGCUGUUUUGACGUUACCAAAGAAAACGACCGGCUAACUUCGUGCCAGCAGCCGCGGUAAUACGAAGGGUGCAAGCGUUAAUCGGAAUUACUGGGCCCAAACGAAGAGAAAAGGUGGUUCAGCAAGUUGGAUGUGAAAUCCCCGGGCUCAACCUGGGAACUGCAUCCAAAACUACUGAGCUAGAGUACGGAGAGGGUGGUGGAAUUUCCUGUGUAGCGGUGAAAUGCGUAGAUAUAGGAAGGAACACCAG